CUCCACAAUGCUGUUGUUCUGGUUGGAAGCACAAAGCAACACCUGUUCUGACAUAUCCCGAGCAAGGAAUUUCAGGUGAGUGAUUGCUGGGUAUUUGUCCUUGCGGGCAGGGUCGGUGGUGCAGCGCAUGAAGAGGGAAGGUAAGAUUUCAGUGUCUAUCUUGCACUUCUCAUUCACCACGCUCACACAGACUUUGUAGAACUGGACAGGGGAGGCACUGCUGCCAUCCGAAGUGGCC
rnacentral:lncRNA from 1 species